UACGAGGGGUCCUAGCGUUGUUCGGAAUCAUUGGGCGUAAAGCGGGUGUAGGCGGACUGGUAAGUCAGAAGUGAAAGCCCCGGGCUCAACCCGGGAAGUGCUUUUGAUACUGUCAGUCUUGAGUGUGGGAGAGGAUAGUGGAAUUCCAGGUGUAGUGGUGAAAUACGUAGAUAUCUGGAGGAACACCGGUGGCGAAGGCGGCUAUCUGGCCCAACACUGACGCUCAGACCCGAAAGCGUGGGGAGCAAACAGG
rnacentral:rRNA from 1 species